AGGUCUGUUGGGAUUACUAUCUUAAUGAAUUUCUGGAUAGCUGGUUCAAGACGGCGUAAUUUCACUUUUUCUUCAUCUUCAGACAUCCUAAAAAAAUGUUGUAUGACCUCCCUGGUAACAGCUGUCUUCUCCACUCAUAUAGAAAAACCUAAAAGAAAAAUAUUUCUUUAAGAAUGUUUUCAAAUCCAUUUCCACUAUUUUUAAAAGCCAACGAUUAGUUUUACAAUUUAUUCUAAAUCAAUAAAUAG
rnacentral:lncRNA from 1 species